rnacentral:rRNA from 1 species
AUUGAACGCUGGCGGAAUGCUUUACACAUGCAAGUCGAGCGGCAGCGCGGCCUUCGGGCUGGCGGCGAGCGGCGAACGGGUGAGUAAUGCAUCGGAACAUGCCCAGUCGUGGGGGAUAACACUUCGAAAGAAGUGCUAAUACCGCAUACGUCCUGAGGGGGAAAGCGGGGGAUCGCAAGACCUCGCGCGAUUGGAGUGGCCGAUGUCAGAUUAGCUAGUUGGUGGGGUAAAGGCCUACCAAGGCGACGAUCUGUAGCUGGUCUGAGAGGAUGAUCAGCCACACUGGGACUGAGACACGGCCCAGACUCCUACGGGAGGCAGCAGUGGGGAAUUUUGGACAAUGGGGGCAACCCUGAUCCAGCCAUUCCGCAUGAGUGAAGAAGGCCUUCGGGUUGUAAAGCUCUUUCGGCAGGAACGAAACGGUGGGCUCUAACAUAGUCCGCUAAUGACGGUACCUGAAGAAGAAGCACCGGCUAACUACGUG